AAUAUGAGAAGAAACCCUAGAAAACCCAAUUCACUUUACAGCAACUAUGCUUAGAAAUGGGGCAAGUAUUUAGGUGAAGAUAGCCGCAAUUAUGGAAUGUAUCCACAUCAUUUGGAAUGGGGCGAGGAGCACUAUAAGUCGUUUGACGCUUUUCUGGUCAAAUGCUCAGAAAUUCUACUAGAUUCUCCCCUAGGAUCCUAAUCUCCCUCUCAAUCAUCUUGCUAUCUACCAAGGCGUGAAGUUGAGGAUGCAAGAGGGGGUUCAAUAUCGUAGAUGCUAGAUUAAGAAGAAGUGUUAUAAACUAUGAAAUAACACUGCCAAAGGCGAGAGGGAAGGACUCUCUGACAUUCCGCCGUUCUCUUUGAUUGAUAGAGACAAAUGGCCGGCUCUUCAUGCCUAUUUUGCUUCUGAGGACAAGAAUGUGUAUAAAAUUGAGGCGGCAUGCAAUACUGAGAACCGAGAGUCAAACAAGAAUGGUAGAGCAACCUAUACAGGUGGCUCAGGUGGCUUGAGAAGCAUGAGUCGGGCCAUGGAGGAUUGGUGAAUUUUCUUCUAAUGGCUUUUUAAAAUCCAUAUUACACAUUUCUUAAUGAGAUGAUCGAUUAUACAUA